rnacentral:rRNA from 1 species
UACGUAGGGUGCAAGCGUUGUCCGGAAUUAUUGGGCGUAAAGAGCUCGUAGGCGGUUUGUCGCGUCUGCUGUGAAAACCCGAGGCUCAACCUCGGGCCUGCAGUGGGUACGGGCAGACUAGAGUGCGGUAGGGGAGAUUGGAAUUCCUGGUGUAGCGGUGAAAUGCGUAGAUAUCGGGAGGAACAUCAGUGGCGAAGGCGGCCUUCUGGUCCAGUACUGACACUCAAGUGCGAAAGCGUGGGGAGCAAACAGG